rnacentral:miRNA from 1 species
UCAGCAUUGGUAUCCUCCUUCU